CCCUACGGGGAGAUCAGUUGCGGGAAGAACAGUUGGUCGAAUAUAUCUACCUGGGCAUUCUGGCCAUGGAGAAAAACAAGUGAGCGUCAUCGAAUAUGAUGUCAUUGUCAUUGGCGCGGGCGUGGCGGGACUAACUGCGGGUUCCUGGCUUUCCGGACAAGGCUUAAAAGUGGCGCUGGUCACUACGGGAGAGCCAACCGCCUGUCUGUCCACCGGUUGCAUCGAUGUCUGCGCACAAAACGAGGAUCCCUUGCAGGGGAUUGCUCAUCUGCCUGCCGAACAUCCCUUUCAUCUGGUUUCCAAUGCAACAAUCCAUCAAGCGCUCAAUGAUUUUCAACAAAUCAUGACUGACAUGGGCAUGUCCUAUACGGGAGGGC
rnacentral:rRNA from 1 species